CCAUUGCUCCUCGUCCUGUCACUGCUCUGCCCCAGGCAGGCAGCCCAUCCAUCCCAAUGUAUUGCCUACCCCAUCCUAGACACAUAAUUCCGUGUUUUCCCUUGACUUCAAUGAGAUUCCUGUCAGCCCCAUCCCUUUGGCUUGUCCAGGUCCCUCUGAAAAGCAGCCCUGCCCUUGAGUGGAAUGAUUGCACCCUCAAUUAGUGGAAAUUAAGACAAUCGACUUCCUUAGUUAGCCUGGUAAAUAUACCAAAAAAAAGAAAAUAAGACAUCAUUGUACAGGUCUGGGCUGCCUUCUUGUCCAAUAUGGAAAUUCUUGUUUGGCUGGAGAUUAUCCCGGCUGGGAAGUAACUUGUGAUGAAGGAUUUUCUACCAUUUACUGCAAAAAAAAAAAAAAAAAAAAAAAAAAAAGUUGAUAAGCUGUUGUUAAAGCAUUUCUACCUUUCUUCCCCCUCCCCCUCGCCCCCCAGUAAGCAGUAGGACUUACACCUCUGGAUUUUAUCCCACUUCAACCGUUUAUCUUAUGAGGUUCCUUUACAUCACUCCCACAUUUCCCCACAGGAAUCUGGGCUCAAUGGAACCAUUCCUUAAAGCCUGAGUGUUGCUCUGACCUUUAUUUACUGACACUGGAGCGAUCUCGGCGUGUCUGGGAACCGAAGCAGGAGGUGCCCAUAGCACCACUCACACUACACAGAAAUGAAACAAUUACAGUGAUUUUUCCUCUUUUGCUGCUUCUCAGGACUCAUGAGGCCUCUCCCAAUGACCCAGUGAUAUUCUGUCCUCGCUAGGUGUUCCAACAGUACCUGCCAUUCCCAAAGAAGAGAUCUGCUGACAGACAUCCCUGCCUUGCUGUGCUGUGAGCUUCGUGCCACUGCAGUUAAUGCCAGCUGAGGAUUAAACCUGGAGAGCUGUAAUUUUCCAAGUUCCAUAAUCCCACUGCUGUUAAAGAAAAGGUUCAGGAAUCAAGCUGUCACUUUAGGUUUCCACAGCUGUAGAUAGAAGUGUCUCCGUGAAUAUCAGGCACCCAGGGCACAAAUAUUCCUGUGCUGGAAUCAUAAUUUACCUUGGUGACCAGUCCCUGCUCUGCACCAAAGAACAUUAUUUCCUAGACUUCCCCUUCAGUAAUUCCACUGUUUCUCUGGAGGGAACCAAGGAAGACUGGGCUUUGUGUUCUACAACUAUUUCCUGUAUGGGGAGGCUGGACUGGGUGAUUCUGUGUUCACUGAACCAAGAUUUUGCCUCCUGAUAGCGUGGCUUUCCAGUGGAAAAAAGAAGGCAAUUAAAAACUUAGUGGGUUUAGGUGUGUGGUACAGAGGGUGUAGUUAGAAAAUUCCUUCUGUAAUUUGUUUCUAUUAGGUUUAUUUUCUAUUAUACUGAAUGUUGUCCUGUUAUUGGUUUGUGUGGGCUUCUCUUGGUAAAGGAAGGUAUUCCAGCAUUCCUGACAUGUUUUCCUUCACUGUGUGCCAUGAUGGAUUCAUGACACUGCCUAGAGCAGAAUAAAUUACUGUAACACUCAUUUCCCUAAAAUACACUUAAUAUCACCAUCCAUGUCAUUUUUUUUUGCAGUUCUAUACUGGAUUUCCAGAACUACCCUCCUGGGCUUUUGGAAUUGGUUCUUGAUGGAUUGUUUGGAAAACUAGGAAAUAAGAAGGUUUUUUAUAGUACAGAGAUUAUAAUAAUUUUAUAUUUCUGAUUUAAUUUAAAUUUGUACACGUGCCUAACAAAAUAACAGUUGCAAUAUAUUUUUCAUGACGUGAAAGCUAAAAGAGGUUUAUGGUUUCAAACAAAUAAUGUAGGAGAGAGUAAACAAUAUGUGGCCAAAAUAAGUGUUCCCUGCAGUUUCUAACAUGGAUUUAUUAACCAUAAAGCUCCUUGUAUUCCAGGCAAAUGGUUUAGUUCAGAAUAGAUAAAUCUUUAAAAACACAACACUGUAACUGUUGGGAAGUCACCACGGCCCUGCCUUUGGUAUCUGAUUAAAAUGAACCAAAGGUUUUACACAAGGCUGACCAGGAAUGUUCAUAUCUCUCCUUCAAAAAUAAGACUAAAAAAAAUUCCUUGGAAUAUUAAAAGAAAUAUUUAAAGAGCUUUCUUCUUCAUAUGAGUGAUGUUAGUGUGAUAAUGGCUACUCACCAAAAGGUAGGUAUGUAAUGAGAAGAGGAAAUCAUAUUUACAGGGCUCUGUACCCAUAAUCCCUCCAUCCCUCCAUCUCUGACUAACUUUGAGCUCUGUUAUC